rnacentral:lncRNA from 1 species
AGAUCGACAGGUACGCCCAGCGGGACCUGAAGAAGGGCCUGCACCUGUACGGCACCCCGGGCAAUGUGGGCCUCACCAACGCCUGGAGCAUCAUCCAGACUGACUUCCGCUGCUGCGGGGUCUCCAACUACACCGACUGGUUCGAGGUCUACAACGCCACACGCGUGCCCGACUCCUGCUGCCUGGAGUUCAGCGAGAGCUGUGGGCUGCACGCGCCUGGCACCUGGUGGAAAGCGCCGUGCUAUGAGACGGUGAAGAUGUGGCUCCAGGAAAACCUGCUGGCCGUGGGCGUCUUUGGGCUGUGCACAGCCCUGGUGCAGAUCCUGGGCCUGACCUUCGCCAUGACCAUGUACUGCCAGGUGGUGAAGGCCGACGCCUACUGCACGUAGGCUGCUUACCGCCCGCCACCCCGCUUCGCUGCCAAAGGACGUCGCCCACUGGGGGGAUGACACCUGCCCCCCACUGCAGGACCUCUCGCCAGCCCGGGCGCGGGGCAGGGAGCAGCGGGCCUGUGAGUGCCACGCCCGCGCCUGGGCUGGGGGCCGGAGGGGCCUGGGAGCUUGACGCCCCAGCAUCCUCCCGGCGGUGCUUCCCCCAGGGCAGCGGGCAGGGUGGGAGGCGCGGGGCGACCGCUGGUCCUGGUCCUGGUGCUCAAGGCGGGGCUGCAGCCCCGUCACCCACAUUCCACAGCCGCACCCCGCGGUGGGCCAGGCCUCCGGGGCGCCUUGAUAAAGCGCGUGGGCAGCAGCCCCCCCGCCCCCCCGUGUCUCUCACUGCCCUGCCCCCGGCGGGCCACACUCGGGCGGCCCUGUGCGGUCGAGGAUUCUCCACCCACUGACCUGCACAGACCCCGCCGCCGCCGCCGCCGAGCCCCCCUGCCCACCGUUGGGGGCUCCUGCGCCCCCAGCAGACGGCAGAUGAGCCCUGAGCCUCGCUGACCCACCCACCCCUGCGGGUGCUACGGACGCCCCCCAGUCCUGACGUGGGGAGGCCCCACAGAAUGGAGUUGAGCUCCCCUUUUUCUGUUCUCUUUCUAGUCCUGGGAUCUCUGCCCCCUUGUCACUCUUGAUUUUGCAAAUAAAGCCGGCUGGCAGGGGUGA